CGAGCGAGCUUUUCAGUAGUUUACUACAGAAAAUGACUGAGCGGCGAACCGGUGAGUAACGCGUGAGCAACCUACCUUAGUUACUGGGAUAGCCCGAGGAAACUCGGAUUAAUACCGGAUAUUCUUAUUUAAUCACAUGAUUUUUUAAGGAAAGGUCAGCCGAACUAAGAUGGGCUCGCGUUCUAUCAGCUAGUUGGUAGGGUAAUGGCCUACCAAGGCUACGACGGAUAGCUGGUCUGAGAGGACGAUCAGCCACACUGGGACUGAGACACGGCCCCGACUCCUACGGGAGGCUGCAGCAGGGAAUAUUGCGCAAUGAGCGAAAGCUUGACGCAGCGACACCGCGUGUGGGAUGACGGAUCUAGGUUUGUAAACCACUUUCAGGAGGGAAGAAAAUGACGGUACCUCCACAAGAAGCCCCGGCCAACUACGUGCCAGCAGCCGCGGUAAUACGUAGGGGGCGAGCGUAGUCCGGAUUUAUUGGGCGUAAAGAGCUCGUAGGCGGUUCAACAAGUCGGUCGUGAAAGUUCAGGGCUCAACCCUGAAAUGUCGAUCGAUACUGUUGUGACUAGGAUACGGUAGAGGUGAGUGGAAUUCCGAGUGUAGCGGUGAAAUGCGUAGAUAUUCGGAGGAACACCAAUUGCGAAGGCAGCUCACUGGGCCGCUAUCG
rnacentral:rRNA from 1 species